GAUGAACGCUGGCGGCGUGCCUAAUACAUGCAAGUCGAGCGAACAGACGAGGAUCUUGCUCCUCUGACGUUAGCGGCGGACGGGUGAGUAACACGUGGAUAACCUACCUAUAAGACUGGGAUAACUUCGGGAAACCGGAGCUAAUACCGGAUAAUAUAUUGAACCGCAUGGUUCAAUAGUGAAAUACGGUUUUUCUGUCACUUAUAGAUGCAUCCGCGCCUCAUUAGCUAGUUGUUAAGUUAACGGCUUACCAAGGCAACGAUGCGUAGACGACCUGAGAGGGUGAUCGGCAACACUGGAACUGAGACACGGUCAAGACUCCUACGGGAGGCAGCAGUAGGGAAUCUUACGCAAUGGGCGAAAGCAUGACGGAGCAAGGCGGAGUGAGUGAUGAAGGUCUUCGGAUCGUAAAACUCUGUUAUUAGGGAAGAACAAAUGUGUAAGUAAAUAUGCACGUAUUGACGGUACCUAAUAAGAAAGCAACGGCUAACUACGUG
rnacentral:rRNA from 1 species